GAUGAACGCUGGCGGCGUGCCUAAUACAUGCAAGUCGAGCGAACGGACGAGAAGCUUGCUUCUCUGAUGUUAGCGGCGGACGGGUGAGUAACACGUGGAUAACCUACCUAUAAGACUGGGAUAACUUCGGGAAACCGGAGCUAAUACCGGAUAAUAUUUUGAACCGCAUGGUUCAAAAGUGAAAGACGGUCUUGCUGUCACUUAUAGAUGGAUCCGCGCUGCAUUAGCUAGUUGGUAAGGUAACGGCUUACCAAGGCAACGAUGCAUAGCCGACCUGAGAGGGUGAUCGGCCACACUGGAACUGAGACACGGUCCAGACUCCUACGGGAGGCAGCAGUAGGGAAUCUUCCGCAAUGGGCGAAAGCCUGACGGAGCAACGCCACGUGAGUGAUGAAGGUCUUCGGAUCGUAAACCUCUGUUAUUAGGGAAGAACAUAUGUGUAAGUAACUGUGCACAUCUUGACGGUACCUAAUCAGAAAGCCACGGCUAACUACGUG
rnacentral:rRNA from 1 species